UCUGCUAUCCACGGUGCCUAUACCACGUGACUUUUUAAGAUCUGUGUGGGGACUAAAAUGUCAACAAAAGCGCGACGAAGGUAUGGCCCAAUGCUCCGAAUGCGGAAAAAUGUUGAAGACCAGAGCUGGAUUAUUGCGCCACAUUAGGAGAUACGCUAACUCUGGAAACUAUUACUGCUGUGGAAAAGCAUUUCAGAAGGCUUCAAAGAACGAAGGACCCCAUGAUGUGUGUACAGUGCGGCAGGAGCUUUUCGGACAAGUACCUACCUACCCGUGGCUCGAGAGAAAAGUGCAAAAAAGAGGGAUUGUCGAACUGUUACCAGUGUGGGUUGGCAGUUAGGAGUGAGAUUGACCUCAAAGAGCACGACAAGCCCCACAUGCCUGACAAGUAUUACAUAAAUGAGGAGUGUUUCAAACGUACAGCCGCAAAACAAACCUCUCUCGACACGUGAGCACUUCACAUAAAUCCGUGAAUACUGAUUAAUAAUCAUAAUAGUUUACAGUUUGUCUGUGUAACUUGAGUAUCGUUUUACGUUAUUUUAUUCGUUUUUUAUUUUAACUCUCCUUUUCAAUAUUUUUUUAAAGUUAUCCGAAUUUGAUUAGUUUUUGUGUUUCGUCAAGUUCGUUUGUGUGUUUCUUUUGAAAUUAUUGUCAAAUAAUUGUGCAAUAAGUUAGAUUUACGUUAUUCAUUAAUGAAUCGCAUCUGUGAUUUGUAUUAUCUAAUCUGUGAUUCUUUAUUAACUAUAACGUGAUUAAA